GAUGAACGCUGGCGGCAUGCCUAACACAUGCAAGUCGGACGGGAAGUGGUGUUUCCCGUGGCGGACGGGUGAGUAACGCGUAAGAACCUGCUAUUAGGCUGGGAACAACAGCUGGAAACGGCUGCUAAUACCCCGCAGGCAGAGGAGCAAACGUAGGAAUCCGCCCGAGGGGGGGUUUGCGUCUGAUUAGCUAGAUGGUGAGGCAAUAGCUUACCAAGGCGAUGAUCAGUAGCUGGUCCGAGAGGAUGAUCAGCCACACUGGGACUGAGAGACGGCCCAGACUCCUACGGGAGGCAGCAGUGGGGAAUAUUCCGCAAUGGGCGAAAGCUUGACAGGGCAAUGGGGCGUGGAGGUAGAAGGCCCACGGGGCGAGGACUGCUUUUCCCGGAGAAGAAGCAAUGACGUUACCUGGAGAAUAAGCAUCGGCUAACUCUGUG
rnacentral:rRNA from 1 species